rnacentral:guide_RNA from 1 species
AUAUAAAAUUAAAAUACACAAUAGAACAUAACCUAGAUUACAUGUGGUAGU